UGGGGAAUAUUGGACAAUGGGCGAAAGCCUGAUCCAGCCAUGCCGCGUGUGUGAAGAAGGUCUUCGGAUUGUAAAGCACUUUAAGUUGGGAGGAAGGGCAGUAAGCGAAUACCUUGCUGUUUUGACGUUACCGACAGAAUAAGCACCGGCUAACUCUGUGCCAGCAGCCGCGGUAAUACAGAGGGUGCAAGCGUUAAUCGGAAUUACUGGGCGUAAAGCGCGCGUAGGUGGUUCGUUAAGUUGAAUGUGAAAGCCCCGGGCUCAACCUGGGAACUGCAUCCAAAACUGGCGAGCUAGAGUAGGGCAGAGGGUGGUGGAAUUUCCUGUGUAGCGGUGAAAUGCGUAGAUAUAGGACGGAACACCAGUGGCGAAGGCGACCACCUGGGCUCAUACUGACACUGAGGUGCGAAAGCGUGGGGAGCAAACAGG
rnacentral:rRNA from 1 species